GCUAGCGGCAUGCUUAACACAUGCAAGUCGAACGGCAGCGCGGGGAGCUUGCUCCCUGGCGGCGAGUGGCGGACGGGUGAGUAACGCGUAGGAAUCUACCUUUAAGUGGGGGAUAACUCGAGGAAACUCGAGCUAAUACCGCAUAAUCUCUACGGAGUAAAGCGGGGGACUUUCGGGCCUCGUGCUUAAAGAUGAGCCUGCGUUGGAUUAGCUUGUUGGUGGGGUAAAGGCCUACCAAGGCGACGAUCUAUAGCUGGUCUGAGAGGAUGAUCAGCCACACUGGGACUGAGACACGGCCCAGACUCCUACGGGAGGCAGCAGUGGGGAAUAUUGGACAAUGGGGGCAACCCUGAUCCAGCAAUGCCGCGUGUGUGAAGAAGGCCUUCGGGUUGUAAAGCACUUUCAGUAGGGAAGAAAGACUCAAGAUUAAUACUCUUGAGAGUUGACGUUACCUACAGAAGAAGCACUGGCUAACUCUGUGCCAGCAGCCGCGGUAAUACAGAGAGUGCAAGCGUUAAUCGGAAUUACUGGGCGUAAAGCGCGCGUAGGUGGAUACUUAAGUCGGAUGUGAAAGCCCUGGGCUUAACCUAGGAACUGCAUCCGAUACUGGGUAUCUAGAGUAUGGUAGA
rnacentral:rRNA from 1 species